CGGAGGCCACACCUGCUGUGACUUCUGUUUGCUCUUCUUCCGUGUCAGCUUCUCCAAAGUGCGGUUGACCUUGUGGCAUACUGUAGCAUUCCUGAUACCCACGUUCUUGCCUCUGCUCAAUGGAAACAAAGGUGCACUGUAUACCCAGCACCUAGAACAGGACCUGGAGUAAGGUGGGUCUCAAUAACACCUGUGAAUGCGUGAAUGAAGGCUUCUUCCACAGAAGGAAGUCUUGGCCUUGCUCACCUGUCCUCCGUGGGUACCAGCAGCCACGGAAUAGAGAGAGGUGUCUGGAAGCAAGGGCACGUCAUGCUACACAGCCCUCCUUGGAGUUCCAAGAAGAGGGAUGGGCUAGCAGAUCAAAAACCAAUUUCCAAGCACCCGAGAGAUGGGUGAGAAUUCAGGUGUGCAUCUGUGGGACGGGGCCAGGCCCCACCCAUGGGCCAGGUGUAGCGGCCUCACGGGGACUUCAAAGUUCCAAGGAGGAAAGGGGCUACA